rnacentral:rRNA from 1 species
AUUGAACGCUAGCGGGAUGCUUUACACAUGCAAGUCGAACGAGUGGCGGACGGGUGAGUGAUAUAUCGGAAGUGCCCAGUAGCGGGGGAUAACUACUGGAAACGGUGGCUAAUACCGCAUACUCUCGGAUAACCCAUAUGGGAUUAGCUAGUAGGUGGGGUAAAGGCUCACCUAGGCGACGAGCUCUAGCUGGUCUGAGAGGAUGAUCAGCCACACUGGGACUGAGACACGGCCCAGAAUCCUACGGAGGCAGCAGUGGGGAAUAUGGCACAAUGGGCGCAAGCCUGAUGCAGCCAGGCCGCGUGUAUGAAGAAGGCCUUAGGGUUGUAAACUUCUUUAGACAGGGACGCGGUACCUGUAGAAUAAGCCACGGCUAACUACGUGCCAGCAGCCGCGGUAAUAC